rnacentral:misc_RNA from 1 species
UUUCCGUAGGUGAACCUGCGGAAGGAUCAUUACCGAGUUAGGGUGCCUAACCCGCGCCCGACCUCCAACCCUUUGUCUACCUGACCUUAUGUUGCUUCGGCAGGCCCGCCUGCCUGGACCUCGCGUCCGGGCGGGCCGCCGGGGGUCUCGCGACCCCGGGCCCGCGCCUGUCGAUGGCCCUUACCAAAACUAUUUGUUAAAACGUGUCGUCUGAGUUAUCUAAACAAAUGAAAUUAAAACUUUCAACAACGGAUCUCUUGGUUCUG